rnacentral:ncRNA from 2 species
AUCAUAAUAGGCAAUGAUGUCUGCCUCGAACCGCCUUGUAGCUGAUGACGUCUAGUAUACU